GGACUUUUGGGAUAGCAUUGGAAAUGUAAUUGAGGAAAAUAUGUAAUAAAAAAAUAAAUUAAAAAAAUAAAUAAAUUAUAGUAGGUUAAAGGAUGAGUUUUUAACUACGCUAGUUUGGUUCUAAGUUUUCGCAAAGGAUUAACCUUGGGUAAUUCAUUCCUUCUUUUAGUAUCUUGGUUUCUUAAUCUAUAAGACACAUGUUAUAGGCUUCAGAAUUAUGAAGUUAAGUGUGAUAAUGUUAUGAAAGCACAGAGUAUAAUAAACACUUGAUUAUGUAUCUGUUUCUUCAAUGGCGAAUCUUUUGGCUUCUGUCUCUCCUGUCUCACACUUUGGAAAGUGCCUGGAUGUAUCCUUUCCGUGUAAACUUUAGAAAGAGCCAAUCUUGCUGACCCCUUGGUUUUUAGGUGUCUAGCCUAUAGAACUCUCUUCUUUAGGAUGCUCAGUUGCUCAUCUUAUGGUUCUCCUGGGAAGCAGCAGGGCUGUGCUCUAACUAGUACCUUAGACUGUGGUGGAGAUAGCUUUGUAAUGUGACUGGAUCUGAAAUGCUUGGUACAAAGAUCAGACUGCCAGGAAGAGACUGGGAAAAAUAUGAAAGCCAACAUUGCUGCAGACAAGUUUUCAGAUGGAAAUGAGAAACACAUUAUUGGAAACCAGAGGAAAGAUAAUCCUUAUUAUAAAGUGGCAAAGAACUUGGCAUAAUUAUGUUCCACAUUUUCUUCAUGGAAAAUAUAAUUUGUCAGUGAUGAACAUGGUAUUUAGCUAAGAUUUCUAAACAAAAUGUUGGAAGUGUAUCCAAGUUUCGCCAUGCUGUUUAUAGUGAAAUGUGAAAGGAGAGAGAUAAAUGAAAGAGGAAAUUGUUAAGGAAAAAAUAUUCAAAUCUUGAAAACUUAGAAAUUUCUGUAUCAUUUAAAAGCAACAGCAGCUUCCUGCCCUGGCAUUCCCCUACACUGGGUCAUCAAAUCCCUUCAGGUCAAGGGCCUCUCUUCUCACUUAUUUCCAACAAGUCUAUUCUCUGCUACAUAUGUGCCCUUAGCCAUGGGUCCCUCCAUGUGUACUCUUUGGUUGGGGGUCGAGUCCCCAGGAGCUCUGGUCAGUUGACACUGUUGCUCUCCCAAUGGGUCUACAAACUCCCUCAGCUCCUUCAGUCCCUUCUCCCACUCCUCCAUCAGGGAACACCUCACUCAGUCCAAUGGUUGUCUGUGAGCAUCCGCCUCUGUAUUUGUCAGGCUCUGGCAGAGCCUCUCAGGAAACAUCCAUAUUAACUCUGUCAGCAAGCACUUCCCGGCAUCCAUAAUAGUGUCUGGGUUUGGUGACUGUAUGUGGAAUGAAUCCCCAGGUGAGGCAGAGGCAGAGGGAUUGGGGAUGGGAUAGGGGGUUCAGAAGGGGAGACCUAGAGAGGGGAUAACAUUUGAAAUAUAAAUAAAAAAUAUCCAAUAAAAAAGGAAAAAAUACCUAUAAUACAAAAAAAGGAAAUAAAUCUCCAAGAAUAAAUUACUACUCUGUACUUUAGUAAAUUAUAUCCCCUAAGAACUGUUUAGUACAAGCUAUUCGAGGAUAAAUAACAUCUAGGUAAGAUAUACUUCUCAUCAUAUGUAAAUCCACAUGUGAAGAAUAUAUUCUCUUGUAUACAAAUAACCAAGGUAAUGUAAAAUUAAAGGCUACAUUGUUGGGAGGUGGGAAGCAACAGCAGCAGCAGCAGCAGCAGCAGCAACAACAACAACAACAACAACAAUAACAAAACAGUAAGGGUAUAUUCUGUAAAGAAAAUCACAGACGUGACUCCAAGGGUAUCAGCAACUACCAGGAAAAGCCAGGAAUCGGGAUGCAGUUAUACAAGACUGCCCUGUGUGGUACCCUCGGCCUCAUAGCUUGACCAAUGCUAAGUGCAAAGCAGUGGAGAGUCUUGUUGAGUUUCAUAUCAGCAGAAACCCUCCUCGCCUCUACUGAGGAGAAAAGCUGGUAUAAAAUGGGGACUGCCAGACUUCUUGUAUUCUCUAGGCAGAAGCAAGGAAAACAGAAACAUCUAGCAUCAGAUCUACGACGAUCCUUUACAGAAUAGAAGAGUGAUCCAGAAGAGGACUCACUGGCCCGUUAUGUUGCCACUUUGCAAGCUUCCUAGGGAGUAAGGCUGAGAAAACAAGGUCUGUGACUGCCCAGAGCUCAGGUGCCUUACUUUAUUCCCUAGUCUGCUCAGAGAGAAACACAUUGAGUUAAAAAACAAAAAGAGACAAUACUCCAGUCUUAAAAACUGAUGGAAUGUGCCCUGUUAGUUUUGUAGUUAUUUGCAAUCUAUGAGCCUUCCUCCCCUCACCCCACCCCCACCCCCAAGAUCUCACUUUGGAAAAAGGAUUAUCAUUUUUAUAACUGUCUCGUCAUUAUAUCUGGGAAUCAGAUAACUGCUUUUAUAAUUCAUAGAUGGAGAGCUACUUUCUUCCAAGUUCCGUGCAUAACUUCUUUGGAUUAUUUAAAUGAGGUUUGAUUUGAGGCUGAGGCCGAUGCUGGAAUGGUUAGAUGUGAAAAAGUUGGCAUGAGUUGAAUGUAGUUUGCCAACGAGAAGGAGAUCAAAGAACAGAUUGUUAUAUCUUGAAGCAAUGAUUCCUCAGAUUCAUGUGUUGUAGUCUGUCAAAAUGUGGAUCUUUAGUAUCCCCCAAAUUCUGUAUAAGUAAAACUUGGUUCCUAGCAUGCUGCUGCCGGGAGGUGGUGAGUCUUUGAAGAGAACUUAGGGAGAGGUUCCCAGGUCAGUGGGAUUGUGUUCUCAAAGGAGCCUAGGGAUCCAGAUUGCUUCUUAUGAUUUUUAUUAUCUAAUCACAAGGUGAAUGAUUUUUCCAGUACAUAUUCAUGCUAUGACAUAAUCCUGCACAAUUUUAAAGCAAUGGGUCUAAGGACUAACAUCCAAUGAACAUCUUUAAACUUGUAAUUCCAAAUCAAUUUUCUAUGCUGUUUAAAUUACUUGAGUUUUAGUGUUUUUAUUUAUUAUCUAGUAAAUGUUCUGCUGUCGUUUGUUAGAGUAGAUUAAAAAUAAGACCAUACCCCUAACUCUCAAAGUGGCCUACUUUAGAGGAAAUAUCUUCACAGAGAUGUUAAAAUUGAAAUGAAGACACAAUGGUUGGCCUUAAUCUAAUGUGACUGAUGUCCUUAUAACAAUAGGUCACUUGGCAGUAGACAUGCAUAGAAGGACAAUAGGAAGAGACAGAUGGAGAAUCUAUACACCAAAGAGACCUAAAACAUAUUUCCUCAAAAUCUACAGAAGGAACCAACCCUUUAACACCUGUACUUGGACUUUUGACUUCCAGAACUGUAAAAGAAUGAACUUCUGUUGGCUAAGUUUUUGUUAAAGUUUGCAUAAGGCUAUGAAUUUGAAGGAGGGUGGGGAGGGGUAUAUGUGAGGGCUUGGAGGAUGAAAAGGGAAAGGGGAAAUGUUGUAAUUAAAAUAUAAUCUCAGGUAUGGAGAGGGUCAAGUAGGUUGUCUUAUUUUGGGUUUUAUUGCUAUGAGGAGACAAGGUGAUCAUGAUGACUGUUAUAAAGGAACACAUAAUUGCGGCUGGCUUACAGUUUCAGAGGUUUAGUACAUUAUCAUAAUGGUGGGAAGCAUGGCAGUCUCCAGGCUGACAUGCUGUUAGAGAUGGAUCUGAGAGUUCUACAGCUUAAUCUGAAGGCAACAAGGAGAGACUAUAUAUCUCAUUGAGCAUAGUUUGAGCAUAAAUAUUCUCAAAGCCUGCCUCUAUAGUGACACAAGGACUCCAACAAGGCCAUACCUACUACAAUAAGGCCACACCUCCUAACAGGGCCUCUCCCUUUGGGCCAACAUUCUAGCACAUGAGUGCAUGGGGGCCGUUUCUAUUUAAACCACCACGUAGUCAUGUUCCUUUUGGAGCUCAUGUAUAGAGCUUUAUGGCACCACUCAUCAGCAGAGACAGGGUACCUUUGCCUAUAAUAGUAGUCCAGGCUAUCUUUUGUAUUCUCCAUGGUUGCCCUAGUAAACAACUAUGUACUACUUGCCCAUUGCUCGUGGAUAGCCAAUGUGUGUGUGUGUGUGUGUGUGUGUGUGUGAUUUAAAUAUUAUAUUUAUUACUUUUGUUGUGUGUAUCUGCACAAACUUUUGUGUUUGCAAGUGUGUGUGUUGCAGUGUAGGUGCGGCUGACCAAGAACAAUUUUCAGGAAUUGAUUCUCUCUUUUUACCAUGUCGAGGUAAGAUCUCUCUUGUUUUUUUUGCAGUUUUCUCCAUUGGAGUGAUGCUGGUUGUGUGAGCCACACUCUAGGGCAAUUCCCAGGAGCAAUUGACCAACACAAAGCAAACUAUAUGGGUUUUGUUUGUGUUUAGAAUUCCUUUUUUGCCUUACUUUCUUUGUUUGUUUUAAAUUUUGAGGGUUUUGUUUGUUUUUGUGUAAGAAGAAUAAAUGAAAUCAGUUUGGCAGGGAGAAGGGGAGAGUGUGGGAGUUGAGAGAAAGGAAAGAAUGGAUCACAAUAUUUCAAAUAAAAAU
rnacentral:lncRNA from 1 species